rnacentral:miRNA from 10 species
UAUGUAUUUUCUUGCAACUAGC